rnacentral:rRNA from 1 species
UACGAAGGGGGCUAGCGUUGCUCGGAAUCACUGGGCGUAAAGGGUGCGUAGGCGGGUCUUUAAGUCAGGGGUGAAAUCCUGGAGCUCAACUCCAGAACUGCCUUUGAUACUGAAGAUCUUGAGUUCGGGAGAGGUGAGUGGAACUGCGAGUGUAGAGGUGAAAUUCGUAGAUAUUCGCAAGAACACCAGUGGCGAAGGCGGCUCACUGGUCCAUUACUGACGCUGAGGUGCGAAAGCGUGGGGAGCAAACAGG